rnacentral:rRNA from 1 species
UGGGGAAUCUUGCACAAUGGGCGCAAGCCUGAUGCAGCCAUGCCGCGUGUGUGAAGAAGGCCUUCGGGUUGUAAAGCACUUUCAGCGGGGAGGAAGGCGAUAAGUUUAAUAACCUUGUCGAUUGACGUUACCCGCAGAAGAAGCACCGGCUAACUCCGUGCCAGCAGCCGCGGUAAUACGGAGGGUGCAAGCGUUAAUCGGAAUUACUGGGCGUAAAGCGCACGCAGGCGGUCUGUCAAGUCGGAUGUGAAAUCCCCGGGCUCAACCUGGGAACUGCAUUCGAAACUGGCAGGCUAGAGUCUUGUAGAGGGGGGUAGAAUUCCAGGUGUAGCGGUGAAAUGCGUAGAGAUCUGGAGGAAUACCGGUGGCGAAGGCGGCCCCCUGGACAAAGACUGACGCUCAGGUGCGAAAGCGUGGGGAGCAAACAGG